rnacentral:rRNA from 1 species
GAUGAACGCUGGCUACAGGCUUAACACAUGCAAGUCGAGGGGAAACGACGGGGAAGCUUGCUUCCCCGGGCGUCGACCGGCGCACGGGUGAGUAACGCGUAUCCAACCUGCCUCUGACUGAGGGAUAACCCGUCGAAAGUCGGCCUAAUACCUCAUGGUAUCGUCUGCGGGCAUCCAACGACGAUUAAAGAUUUCAUCGGUCAGGGAUGGGGAUGCGUCUGAUUAGCUUGUUGGCGGGGUAACGGCCCACCAAGGCUACGAUCAGUAGGGGUUCUGAGAGGAAGGUCCCCCACAUUGGAACUGAGACACGGUCCAAACUCCUACGGGAGGCAGCAGUGGGGAAUAUUGGUCAAUGGGCGAGAGCCUGAACCAGCCAAGUAGCGUGCAGGAAGACGGCCCUAUGGGUUGUAAACUGCUUUUAUGCGGGGAUAAAGUGAGGGACGUGUCCCUCAUUGCAGGUACCACAUGAAUAAGGACCGGCUAAUUCCGUG